rnacentral:rRNA from 2 species
UACGUAGGGGGCGAGCGUUGUCCGGAAUCAUUGGGCGUAAAGAGCUCGUAGGCGGUUCAGUAAGUCAGGUGUGAAAGCUCCGAGCUCAACUCGGAGAGGCCACCUGAUACUGCUGUGACUAGAAUCCAGUAGGGGAGUGUGGAACUCCUGGUGUAGCGGUGAAAUGCGCAGAUAUCAGGAAGAACACCAGCGGCGAAGGCGGCACUCUGGGCUGGAAUUGACGCUGAGGAGCGAAAGUGUGGGUAGCAAA